UACGAAGGGGGCUAGCGUUGUUCGGAAUUACUGGGCGUAAAGGGCGCGUAGGCGGCCGUUUAAGUUAGGUGUGAAAGUCCUGGGCUCAACCUGGGGACUGCACUUAAUACUGGAUGGCUUGAAUCCGGGAGAGGAUAGCGGAAUUCCCAGUGUAGAGGUGAAAUUCGUAGAUAUUGGGAAGAACACCGGUGGCGAAGGCGGCUAUCUGGACCGACAUUGACGCUGAGGCGCGAAAGCGUGGGGAGCAAACAGG
rnacentral:rRNA from 1 species